UGACCGCUGGCGGCGUGCCUAAUACAUGCAAGUCGAGCGACCGGACGAGAAGCUUGCUUCUCUGAUGUUAGCGGCGGACGGGUGAGUAACACGUGGAUAACCUACCUAUAAGACUGGGAUAACUUCGGGAAACCGGAGCUAAUACCGGAUAAUAUUUUGAACCGCAUGGUUCAAAAGUGAAAGACGGUCUUGCUGUCACUUAUAGAUGGAUCCGCGCUGCAUUAGCUAGUUGGUAAGGUAACGGCUUACCAAGGCAACGAUGCAUAGCCGACCUGAGAGGGUGAUCGGCCACACUGGAACUGAGACACGGUCCAGACUCCUACGGGAGGCAGCAGUAGGGAAUCUUCCGCAAUGGGCGAAAGCCUGACGGAGCAACGCCGCGUGAGUGAUGAAGGUCUUCGGAUCGUAAAACUCUGUUAUUAGGGAAGAACAUAUGUGUAAGUAACUGUGCACAUCUUGACGGUACCUAAUCAGAAAGCCACGGCUAACUACGUG
rnacentral:rRNA from 1 species